rnacentral:rRNA from 1 species
UACGUAGGUCCCGAGCGUUAUCCGGAUUUAUUGGGCGUAAAGCGAGCGCAGGCGGUUAGAUAAGUCUGAAGUUAAAGGCUGUGGCUUAACCAUAGUACGCUUUGGAAACUGUUUAACUUGAGUGCAGAAGGGGAGAGUGGAAUUCCAUGUGUAGCGGUGAAAUGCGUAGAUAUAUGGAGGAACACCGGUGGCGAAAGCGGCUCUCUGGUCUGUAACUGACGCUGAGGCUCGAAAGCGUGGGGAGCA